GUACGGGUCGCUGCAGUGAGGAAUAUUGCACAAUGGGGGGAACCCUGAUGCAGCAACGCCGCGUGGAGGAGGAGGCAUUUGGGUGUGUAAACUCCUUUUAUAUGUCAAGAAAAUGACGGUAGCAUAUGAAUAAGCACCGGCUAACUCCGUGCCAGCAGCCGCGGUAAUACGGAGGGUGCAAGCGUUACUCGGAAUCACUGGGCGUAAAGGACGCGUAGGCGGGUUGGAAAGUCAGGUGUGAAAUCCUACAGCUUAACUGUAGAACUGCACUUGAAACUUCUAAUCUAGAGUAUGGGAGGGGGAGAUGGAAUUAGUGGUGUAGGGGUAAAAUCCGUAGAUAUCACUAGGAAUACCUAAAGCGAAGGCGAUCUCCUGGAACAUUACUGACGCUAAGGCGUGAAAGCGUGGGGAGCAAACAGGAUUAGAUACCCGGGUAGUC
rnacentral:rRNA from 1 species